GUGUUCACUUUGGCAACACAUACACUAAAAUUGGAACGAUACAGAGAUUAGCAUGGCCCCUGCCCAAGGAUGACACGCAAAUUCGUGAAGCGUUCCAUAUUUAA
ensembl:snRNA U6 U6 spliceosomal RNA